UUGUGCCAGCAGCCGCGGUAAUACAGAGGGUGCAAGCGUUAAUCGGAUUUACUGGGCGUAAAGCGUACGUAGGUGGUCUUUUAAGUCGGAUGUGAAAUCCCUGAGCUUAACUUAGGAAUUGCAUUCGAUACUGGGAGACUAGAGUAUGGGAGAGGAUGGUAGAAUUCCAGGUGUAGCGGUGAAAUGCGUAGAGAUCUGGAGGAAUACCGGUGGCGAAGGCGGCCCCCUGGACAAAGACUGACGCUCAGGUGCGAAAGCGUGGGGAGCAAACAGGAUUAGAUACCCUGGUAGUCCACGCUGUAAACGAUGUCGACUUGGAGGUUGUGCCCUUGAGGCGUGGCUUCCGGAGCUAACGCGUUAAGUCGACCGCCUGGGGAGUACGGCCGC
rnacentral:rRNA from 1 species